rnacentral:rRNA from 1 species
UACAGAGACUGCAAGCGUUGUUCGGAAUUACUGGGCGUAAAGCGCGCGCAGGCGGUCUUCCAAGUCAGUGGUGAAAGCCCGGAGCUCAACUCCGGAACUGCCAUUGAAACUGUUGGACUUGAGUACGAGAGAGGUGAGUGGAAUUCCCAGUGUAGAGGUGAAAUUCGUAGAUAUUGGGAAGAACACCGGUGGCGAAGGCGGCUCACUGGCUCGUAACUGACGCUCAGGCGCGACAGCGUGGGGAUCAAACAGG